rnacentral:lncRNA from 1 species
CAUAUUUUAAUGUUAUUUAAUUUAAUGCACCUAUAUACUUGGUAAAAGGUGGAAGGCUCGACAUUUCUAGCCUGGUGUUUUGUUCCACCUUUGCCCCCUUAGUUUCGGCUACCGGUGUUAUGUUCCAUAAUUGAGCGCUCCUAACACGACCGGGUUGUUAUGGGGACCCCCUUGAUAAUUCGUUUUAGAUUAAAGCUGGUCUGGCAAGGCCCAACUUUGGUACUACAUUUGCCUAAUAACUAAUGAACUGCAUAGGGAGUAAUUAACCCGAGGAAAUUUAAUCAAACCCCGGGCCAGUGCUCCUCAUGAGUGUUGGUCCAAAACAGAGCAGCUUAUUAACGCUAUCCGGGGCAACUCGGCGUUUGGCGUGGUAACCAUCGCUCAUCCGUCGUGUCCUGAGAACGAGGUACGCGACUCCUAUCGGGAUCGUCGGCACGUCGGGGGGCCUUGCUG